AGUGAACGCUGGCGGUAGGCCUAACACAUGCAAGUCGAACGGCAGCACAGUAAGAGCUUGCUCUUACGGGUGGCGAGUGGCGGACGGGUGAGGAAUACAUCGGAAUCUACUUUUUCGUGGGGGAUAACGUAGGUAAACUUACUCUAAUACCGCAUACGACCUACGGGUGAAAGCAGGGGAUCUUCGGACCUUGCGCGAUUGAAUGAGCCGAUGUCGGAUUAGCUAGUUGGCGGGGUAAAGGCCCACCAAGUCGACGAUCCGUAGCUUGUCUGAGAGGAUGAUCAGCCACACUGGAACUGAGACACGGACCAGACUACUACGAGAGGCAGCAGUGGGGAAUAUUGGACAAUGGGCGCAAGCCUGAUCCAGCCAUACCGCGUGGGUGAAGAAGGCCUUCGGGUUGUAAAGCCCUUUUGUUGGGAAAGAAAAGCAGCAGGUUAAUACCCCGCUGUUCUGACGGUACCCAAAGAAUAAGCACCGGCUAACUUCGUG
rnacentral:rRNA from 1 species